rnacentral:lncRNA from 1 species
CACAUUCCCCCGAAACACCAGCGGUAUCGUCCCCGUCUGCUGCUGCUGCUGCAGUUCCUGCAGCAGCCCGCUCCCCAGCUGCGUCUCGCCGCUGAGCAGCAGGUUGAGCACCGUGGUGUUUUUGUGGCCCUGGUAGAACACCGGGAAGGUGCCGGAGCAAAGGCUGGUGUUGGUGUACCAGGCGCUCAGGUGGCUCCCGCCCCGGUAGUAGAUGCCGAUCUUCUUGUUGGGGUUCGUGGUGGUGACCGUCAAGUUGAACGUGGCGCUCACGGUCAUGUUGUCGUCGACGGUGAAGUUGGAGAUGGCGAGGCGGUCGACGGAGUACUUGGG